rnacentral:antisense_RNA from 1 species
CUGACGGUGUACUCCCAGAUGCUCUGGCCGUCCACAAGGGACUCGUCGCCGAAGUGGUCCCCGUUGGCGAGCACGCCGAGGUUGGUGAAGUCCCCGUACUCGCCGGGACCGACCUUGCCGACCUUGCCGUGCGCGAUGAGGAACGCCUGGUCCGAGGAGCUGCCGAACUCCACGAUCACCUCGCCGGGCUCGUAGUCGCGCUGCUCGAACCGGCCGGCGAGCGCGGCGAGCACGUCGUGGUCGUCGAAGCCGCGCAGGAUCGGCAGUUCGGCCAGCUCGGCGGGGAUCACCUCGACGCGGUCCGCGGUGGUCACGAAGGUCACGCGGCCGUCGCCGACGGCGUAGGACAGCCGGCGGUUGACGCGAUAGGCACCGCCGGACGCCUCCACCCACGGCAGCAGGCGCGGUAGCCACCGGGACGUGAUGGCCUGCAUCUGGGGGACGGACUUGGUCGUGGUCGCCAGGUUGCGGGCGGCCCGGGUGCUCAGGCUCUGCUGCGGGCUGUCCU